AGGGCAGGAAAGAAAACUGGAAAAGCAGCUCUUUAGGACCCUAGCUGCUGCAACUUCUGCCUGCCCCUCACUCACCCCUAAGCCAAGGCUCUGAAGAGGAUUUUGGCUCUGCUCCUUGCCCUCAGCAGCCCUGCUACUUCUCUGCUGAAAGGCUUUGGCAAAGGGGUUGUAUUUGAUCUUGAGAGCUGUUAUCUUGAGUUUGGAAAAAGAAAAAGAGUUGCAUGGACAAGAACAUUUGACAUUACAAACUGACAAUCUGAAGCUCAGCGUUUCCAGAAUAAGGAAAGCUCCUAUUGGGGCCAACUGAGGCAUCCCUUGAAACAAGAGGGGAUGUUUUGUUGGGACAUUAGAGAAGAGAAAAAGAAGAGAAGGAGUUAAACUCUCCCUCUCCAGAAACCCACCCAUGGUUGCAAGAUUGCCUGAGUUUUUCCACAGGUUCAGAAGAAAUAUGCCACUGGAUACCAGGAGCUGAGGAUCGGCUGCAGAGCUUCAUGUCCUGGUUGUAGGCUCCUCAGAAGCAUCUCUUUGGUCAUUGCAGUAAGCAGGAUGCAAAACUGAACAGAUCUUUGUUCUGAGCCGACAGGGCUCUUCUACUGUCCUCAUGCUGUUAAUUAAAGCAAAAACUUUAAUUAUGUCUGUCAGCGUAUAGCAAAUCUUUCAAUGUGAACUAUGUAAUGAUGAAACUGGCAAACCACCGGUGGUGACAGGGACAAGAAAGAGACAGGUAUGGACUUUCAGCUAAAUGUUCUAGAGGUCUGGCAGAACAUUCCAUCCGCAUUUAUUGCUAAGCUCAUGGUGAUGAGAGUUCCAGAAAAAAAAUGUAAUCACUGCUUGUGACAAUCCUUUUGCCAUGACAGUGGUACAAUUUGAACAGGAAAAAAAGUAGCUGCUGGUCAUCAGCACAGUGAACAUACAAUAUAUUUCAGAUGUUCAGAGAUAAUUCAGAGCCUUUAAAAUGAAAAUGGCAUUGUUUAUUGAUAUCUACUUAGAUAAUUCUUCCUCAGUAUUAGGAUUGCUUUCAUCCAAUGAAUUGAUAGAGAUCUAGACAACUUUCUAAGAAAUACUCUUAGAAAUGUGUCAAAUGUUACAUUGCAUAUUCAUGUUUUAAUUUUGCUUGGGUUGAAUGUCUACUUCUUAUCCAUCCCAUUGUAUGGAUGGGCUAGGGUUGAACUAUGCCCCAUUGAAUUAUGGAAGUCAGUCAUUCAAGUAUGGCGCUGAUACCAUCACUCCAUUAGGUACCAUAAAUUGCAGAAGCUGGAAGAUCUAGAAAUCAUGUUUCUUGCUAAAAGUGAAUUUUGGCUUAAUGUAAAGAUGCUGAACUUGUC